CUGAAAUACUCAAUGCUUUUUUUGCUUCGGUCUUCACAAAUAAGGUCAGCUCACAGGAUUGCUGCACUGGGCAACACAGUAUGGGGAGGAGGUGAGCAGUCCUCAGUGAUGAAAUAACAGGUUAAGGACUAUUUAGAAAAGCUGGACAUGCUCAAGUCAA